rnacentral:rRNA from 28 species
GCUGGCGACCAUAGCAAGAGUGAACCACCUGAUCCCUUCCCGAACUCAGAAGUGAAACCUCUUAGCGCUGAUGGUAGUGUGGGGUUUCCCAUGUGAGAGUAAGUCAUCGCCAGCU